UACAGAGGGUGCGAGCGUUGUUCGGAAUUACUGGGCGUAAAGCGCGCGCAGGCGGCCUUUUAAGUCUACCCGUGAAAUGCCGGGCUCAACUCCGUGCACGCCGGGGGAUACUGGGGAGGCUGGAGACAUGUAGAGGCAAGCGGAAUUCCGGGUGGUAGCGGUGGAAUGCGUAGAGGAUCCGGAAGAACACCGUGAGGCGAAGGCGGCUUGCUGGGCAUGAGUCUGAC
rnacentral:rRNA from 1 species